AAAGAAUAAAACUGGUGAAACAUUGUUAACACAAAUAAAAUAUAUGUCAUCGAUCUGAACUCCUACUGUUUCAAAAAUUGAGUUAAUUUGCUUGAACUGAGCUAAAAUGUUUACCCUUGCAUAAUCCCUGAGUAAAAGCAGAUCCGUGAUAUAGUAUAAACAUGAUUACAGAAAGAUGAUCAACCUAUUUAAGACAACAACUGACUUGUAAGUAAUCAUUUGAAGUAAUCCUUAAUUCGUUCAGGCAAUAUUUAUUAAGCAGCUAUAUGCGCUAAGCAUGGAUCUAGAAAUAUAAGGAUAUAUAAGGGAUAGCCACUACUUUUAAGGAAUUUGCCUUCUAAUAGAAAGGAAUACAAACAAGUAACAAGUAGAUACAAUAAUAUGUUAUAGUCGCCAGGAUAGCAGUCUUAGAGGGGACGGGGGUCGGGGUCGGGGAUGGAGGUGGGAGUGUAAUGGUCUUUUUACCUAUGAGAUUGGGAAUGAGGUAGAAAAGUCUUUAAAGAGAAAGUAACACUUGAACCAAAUCUCUGAAGUUAAGAAUGUGGUUGUGUGGGCCAAGUGGGUGGUAGGUAGCAUUAAGAUAUUUUUUAAGGCAUAAAGAGCAACAUGAUUCAGAGAUUUGAAAUAAUCCACCUGGUUAGCAGAAUUGUUUGGCAGGGGUAAAGCAUAGACUACCUACUGUGGGAAUGAAGUGAGAUAAGGCUGGAGUGGUGGGCAGGGGUCAGGGCAUGGAUGGCCUGGUACCAUGUACUAGAGGAAUUUGAACUUUAUCUUGUAGGUAGUAGAGAACCAGUGAAGGCCUUUAGGCAGGAUAAUAACAUCACUUCAUUUUACUGGUUUAUAAGCAAUGGAUUAAUGACGGAGCUAGAAGUAGACUGUUACAUACUCCAUAUAAGCAAAGUCAAGAUCCUGAACUAAGAACGUAGCAAUCAAGAUGAAGAGGAGGAAGACAGAUUAGAGAAGUGCUAGAAUCUGUAGGGCUUCCUAAUCAAUUGUAGAGGGAGCUAUGGUGAGAGGUAUGAGUAAGGAGAGAAGUCACAAUCUGAGAUAUAUUCAAGAGCCAGGCAAGUGUAUAUAAAUGAAUGAAAGGAGCUUCAGCAUCCUUUAUGGUCACUGUGAAGACUACAUGAACCAGGAGCUCAUCUGCUGCUCAUCUCCAGCCAGUUGUUCCAUGCAGCCAGCUACUUUUCAUGAGGAUACUCAAGCAUUCCUAUGGAGAGAUCCACAUGGUGAGAAACUGAAGCCUCCUACCAAGAGCCAGCACCAACUUGCCAGCUAUGUGAAUGAGCCAUCUUAGAAGUGGGUUCUCUAGCCCUAGUCAGGCCUUCAUAUGACUGCAGCCAGGGCUGAUAUUUUGACUACAACCUCAUGAGAGACUGAGCCACAACAACCUAGCUAAGAAGCUCCUGAAUUCCCUACCAACAGAAACUAUGUGAGAUAAUGUUUGUUGUUUUAACUAAGUUUUCAAGUGGUAAUUUGUUAUACAGAAUAUGUAACUAAUAAAGCAUGGCUCCUUUAGGUCUAAAUGUUGUCUUUUGCUUACAUGAUACCCCAGAAGCACAGGAAUCCUGCUGUUUCAUGAAGCACUUGAGUAUGGAAAUUCUUGUGAGGUUGCCUCUGUCCCUGUUUGCCCCAACACACCAUGUAGUUAUUCCUUCACUGGACUUGCACCUUUCUACCAGUCUCUGCUCAGGAAGCAAAGCCUAAGUUUCCUCUUUUCCUAGAAAUACAGACCUAUUUGUAGACCUCCUGUUCUUCAUCUUCAGCCUGCAGAUAUUUUGUUUUUAUCUUGGGGAAAUUCUCCUCAUUUUUGGCCAUGAUACUUUGUACUUGAAUCUUCUCAACCUCUCCAGGACUUUCGGAAAUAAAAGGCAGAAAACUUACAAGCUUGUCUUCUUUCUACCAUGUUGUAAUGCCUCCCCUGAGACAGUGAACAAAAGGCUAGCUCUUUGAAUUUUGUGAGAUGUAGAAAGAAAGGGGAAAAUGAAGGGAGAAAAAAUGUGAAUAUCUCAAAAUACCAUCCUACCAGAAUUAUCAAUAUGUGAUGAGUGCUUACUGUGUGCCAGAUACUAUACCAAAUGCUUUACAUAUUUUUUCUCAUUAAGUACUAUUAUCAAGCUUAUUUUACAAACAAGAUGAUCAGAUUUAGAGAGAUUAAGUAAGUUGCCUGAAGUUUCACUGUUUCUAGAUGGUAAUGCUGAAAUUCUACCAGGAAUCUCUGACUCCCAGCUCCAACUUUUGACCAUUAGCAUGCAAGUUCUUUCCAUGUGGUUGGGGAGGGAAGAAGGUUGGUCUAAGGGUGCUUUCCUUUGGCUUCAUUUCUUCACAUAAAUGAGGAUGCCAAUCAUACCUAAGACUUGUCUGUCAUUAAUACAUUUCUGACAGUGGCUUCCACUUGGCAACACUUUGUAGGCGAGUGGACCUACUCUGUACACUUGAAAUGUUGAAAACUGCACUUCUUCUAAAAUACUGUUUGGAUCAAUCAUUUCAUUUAGUUAAGCAGGCCAUCUGUCUAUCCAGCAUGUUUUCCAAGUGCCUGUGCGUAGGUACCACGUAAAAUGCUGGGGACAUCAAGAUGAAUUCAACACUCACCAUGAGCUAUGUGUGUGGUGUUUAGAUGAAACAGACAUAAAAGCUAAUUACAGCAGUGAGAUAAGUUGUAUAUCUAAACAGCAUAUGAAUAUGUGUUCUGGAAUGCAGAAGAAAAGUACUAAUUUCAGCUUAGGUAUAUCAAGGAAAACUUCUCAGAGGUAAUAAGCCUUCAAGAAUGAGUAGAAAUUCACCAGUAGGACAUUCUGGACAGAGGAAGAGGCAUGGGCAAAAAUGCUUGGCAAUUUCAGAGAGGAGCACACAACUGAGAAUAAUUGGAGAGGAUGAUGUAUGUUUAUAGGAGCCAGAUAAUGAAGAUACUUGUUCUACUAUGCUAACAAGUUAAAAUAAUUAAAACUCUCACCCCACAGGAGGAAUCUUGCCCACAAAUAUUCUUUGUUUGAUGUAGGUUUUUUUUUCUUGAAUUUGAAUGUCUUUAAAAAGACGUACAUUCUCUAGUCUUCUGUCUCCUCAGGCUCACCCCUCCAUAUUUAGGUUACCUAGCUAUCCCUGCAGACAUUUGAGCUUACUCCCCCUGCUGCAGCAAUGGGGAGUCACGGAAGAUUAUCUUUGUUUAUAGGAGCCAGAUAAUGAAGAUACUUGUUCUACUAUGCUAACAAGUUAAAAUAAUUAAAACUCUCACCCCACAGGAGGAAUCUUGCCCACAAAUAUUCUUUGUUUGAUGUAGGUUUUUUUUUCUUGAAUUUGAAUGUCUUUAAAAAGACGUACAUUCUCUAGUCUUCUGUCUCCUCAGGCUCACCCCUCCAUAUUUAGGUUACCUAGCUAUCCCUGCAGACAUUUGAGCUUACUCCCCCUGCUGCAGCAAUGGGGAGUCAUGGAAGAUUAUCUUAAGGUGGAGUUAACAUGAACGUAUUUGCUCUUUCAGAGACCAUUCUGGCUUACUGUGGAGGAUAAAUGGUGAGGCCAAUUGGGAAGGGAUGGUACAAGAUAUAGAAAUGUCUUAGCUCGGGCUGCCUUAACCAAAUGCCAUAGCCUGGGUGGCUUAAACUCAGACAUUUAUUUUUCAUUAUUCUGGAAGCUGGAAAGUCCAAGAUCAAGGCACAAGCAGAUUCAAUUCUUGGUGAGGGCUUUCUUCCUGGCUUGUAGAUGGCCACCUUCUUACUGUAUCCUUAAAGAGAGAAGGAGCUCUGGUUUCCCUUCCUCUUCUUAUAAGGGCACUAAUCCUAUCAUGGGGCCUCCACCCUCAUGACUUCAUCUAAACCUAAUUACUUGCCAAAGGCCCCACCUCCUCAUACCAUCACAAUGGGGGUUGGAGUUUCAGCAUAUGAAUUUUGAGGGGAAUACAAACAUUCAAGCUAUAAAAAGCGACUUACUGGGUGAAGAGGCUGAGAGGGAGGACUCAUGAUUCUCAGUUUCCCACUGAAUGAACGGUGGUUCCAUUAACUCCAAAUGGAUAGCACAAGAGGUUUUAUUCUAUAUGUUUAUAUGAAGUUGUAAAAUUUCUUAGGAAGGAUUGUGGAGCAAUUGCUAAAAUCCACUUAAUGUCUAUUGGAAGUACCUAGAUGAAGUUCACCAGGAGACCUUUCAAAAGUGUCUCAAAUGUUCCUAUAAAUAUUGUGACAUAUUUAUGUCAUAAAUCAGGAUACAUGGUAGGACAUGUUGGGCAUUAAUAACAGACAUAAUAUUUAAAAUGGGAACUGUUCUGAAAAAUCAGGAGUGUAUGGUCACUGGAUAUAAAAAUUACUUUGUUGUCUCAUCUAGGUUCUCUUUUAUCAAAGGUCCCUCUGAAUAAAAAUACUAUCGUUAGAAUGUACAUGUUUAAAUAAACACGUCUCAAGUACAGCUAAUCGAUCUAUGGGUAUUUCCUCAUUUUCAUCUUCAAUAAUAAUUUCAAACUCCCUACCAUACUUUUCUACAGAGCUAUUAAUAGGAAGCUUCCAUCAGCUAACUUGAGUUUCCUCUCAUUUUCCCAGCUGACAUUCACUGGAGGUAUUAAUGGGAAAUAUAAUGUCUAAAAGACAUAGGUAGUCUUCAAAUUGGAUACUCAGGCACUGAAUAAUCUUAACUUCAUGAAAAUCAGCUCUUCAUUCUGUAAAGUAUCUAGCACACUCAAAAUGUAGAGUACAUAUAGGAGGGAAAACCAUAGCGUGGCAAUGUCUUCCUGUUAUUCCAUACAUAUUAGUGUGUUCUAUUUUUCACAAUGCUUGCUAAACUGGUUUUAUGCUUGAAAUAAUUGUCACAGAGUUUCACAAAACUUUGGAAACACAAUUAACCCACCAAUAAAUUGAGUGGGAUACUAUGGAGAAUGCAAAGAUGUAUAAGACAUGAUUUCCUUUAGGUGUUUAAUACUUAAUAGAGGAAAUAAGACACAUUCAUGAAAAAGAUAAUAACAUAAGCUACUAUGUGAUGUCAAACAAUAGUUCUUUUUUUCAUAUCUAUGAAUUCAUUAGAGACGAGAAAAAAAUUUCACAAAAAGUUGGCAUUUACAAUGUAAUGAAAGAAGCAUGACCUCUAAAAUACAA
rnacentral:lncRNA from 10 species